rnacentral:rRNA from 1 species
AUUGAACGCUGGCGGCAUGCCUUACGCAUGCAAGUCGAACGGUAACAGGUCUUCGGACGCUGACGAGUGGCGAACGGGUGAGUAAUACAUCGGAACGUGCCCAGUCGUGGGGGAUAACUACUCGAAAGAGUAGCUAAUACCGCAUACGAUCUGAGGAUGAAAGCGGGGGCCUUCGGGCCUCGCGCGAUUGGAGCGGCCGAUGGCAGAUUAGGUAGUUGGUGGGAUAAAAGCUUACCAAGCCGACGAUCUGUAGCUGGUCUGAGAGGACGACCAGCCACACUGGGACUGAGACACGGCCCAGACUCCUACGGGAGGCAGCAGUGGGGAAUUUUGGACAAUGGGCGAAAGCCUGAUCCAGCAAUGCCGCGUGCAGGAUGAAGGCCUUCGGGUUGUAAACUGCUUUUGUACGGAACGAAAAAGUCUCCUCUAAUACAGGAGGCCCAUGACGGUACCGUAAGAAUAAGCACCGGCUAACUACGUGCCAGCAGCCGCCGUAA